rnacentral:rRNA from 1 species
UGAGCAACCUGCCCUUGGCUUCGGGAUAACUCCGGGAAACCGGGGCUAAUACCGGAUGUGACGCGCCCGCGCAUGGGGGUGUGUGGAAAGAUUUAUCGGCCAGGGAUGGGCUCGCGGCCUAUCAGCUUGUUGGUGGGGUGAUGGCCUACCAAGGCGACGACGGGUAGCCGGCCUGAGAGGGCGACCGGCCACACUGGGACUGAGACACGGCCCAGACUCCUACGGGAGGCA